CCUACGGGAGGCAGCAGUGAGGAAUAUUGGUCAAUGGGCGUAAGCCUGAACCAGCUAAGUCGCGUGUGGGAUGAAGGUUCUAUGGAUCGUAACCCUCUUUUAUAAGGGCAUAAAGUGUGGGACGUGUCCUUUUUUGUAUGUACCUUAUGAAUAAGGAUAGGCUAACUCCGUGCCAGCAGCCGCGGUAAUACGGAGGAUCCGAGCGUUAUCCGGAUUUAUUGGGUUUAAAGGGUGCGUAGGCGGCCUUUUAAGUCAGCGGUGAAAGUCUGUGGCUCAACCAUAGAAUUGCCGUUGAAACUGGGGGGCUUGAGUAUGUUAGAGGCAGGCGGAAUGCGUGGUGUAGCGGUGAAAUGCUUAGAUAUGACGCAGAACCCCGAUUGCGAAGGCAGCCUGCCAGGCCAUGACUGACGCUGAUGCACGAAAGCGUGGGGAUCAAACAGGAUUAGAUACCCUUGUAGUC
rnacentral:rRNA from 1 species